ACGGGUGAGUAACGCGUGGGAAUCUACCUAGCUCUACGGAAUAACCCAGGGAAACUUGGACUAAUACCGUAUACGCCCUUCGGGGGAAAGAUUUAUCGGAGUUGGAUGAGCCCGCGUUGGAUUAGCUAGUUGGUGGGGUAAUGGCCUACCAAGGCGACGAUCCAUAGCUGGUCUGAGAGGAUGAUCAGCCACACUGGGACUGAGACACGGCCCAGACUCCUACGGGAGGCAGCAGUGGGGAAUAUUGGACAAUGGGCGAAAGCCUGAUCCAGCCAUGCCGCGUGAGUGAUGAAGGCCCUAGGGUUGUAAAGCUCUUUCACCGGUGAAGAUAAUGACGGUAACCGGAGAAGAAGCCCCGGCUAACUUCGUGCCAGCAGCCGCGGUAAUACGAAGGGGGCUAGCGUUGUUCGGAAUUACUGGGCGUAAAGCGCACGUAGGCGGAUAUUUAAGUCAGGGGUGAAAUCCCGGGGCUCAACCCCGGAACUGCCUUUGAUACUGGGUAUCUAGAGUAUGGUAGAGGUGAGUGGAAUUCCGAGUGUAGAGGUGAAAUUCGUAGA
rnacentral:rRNA from 1 species